rnacentral:lncRNA from 10 species
CGCAGGCCCAGGCUCCACUCCCCAGCUGUGAAAGGGUUUUCUGCCUCCUGCUAAGCCAAUUUAUACAUUCCAAGAAAAUCUUCCAUUUCAUCCAGGUGAAACAGAACCUACUGGAAUGAAGCUGGCCUCCCAUGGAAUGAAGCUGGCCUCCCGUCUCCUUGAUUUGAAGCAGCUUCUCCACGUUGGUUAUUAUGCCAUUUUUCUAAAUCUAACAUUUUAAAAUUUGUGCCUUUUCUUUCUCUUUUGCUUGACUUCUCAGAGGUUUUUUUAACGGUCUUUUCAAAGAAGUGGUUUUCGG